rnacentral:rRNA from 1 species
UACAGAGGUCUCAAGCGUUGUUCGGAUUCAUUGGGCGUAAAGGGUGCGUAGGCGGCGCGGUAAGUCGGGUGUGAAAUCUCGGGGCUUAACUCCGAAACUGCAUUCGAUACUGCCGUGCUUGAGGACUGGAGAGGAGACUGGAAUUUACGGUGUAGCGGUGAAAUGCGUAGAUAUCGUAAGGAAGACCAGUGGCGAAGGCGGGUCUCUGGGCAUUACCUGACGCUGAGGAGCGAAAGUGUGGGGAGCGAACAGG